UCCGGUUUGGCACCGGCAGUCUCCCUAGAGUUCCCGGCAUGACCCGCUGGCAACUAGGGACAAGGGUUGCGCUCGUUGCGCCACUUAAGGCAACACCUCACGGCACGAGCUGACGACAGCCAUGCACCACCUGUGCAGGCUCCGUAGAGCGCCGGCUUUCACCGGCUUUGCCCUGCAUGUCAAGCCUAGGUAAGGUUCUUCGCGUUGCAUCGAAUUAAGCCACAUGCUCCACCGCUUGUGCGGGCCCCCGUCAAUUCCUUUGAGUUUCAGUCUUGCGACCGUACUCCCCAGGCGGCGAACUUAACGCGUUAGCUGCGGCACGGAAGACGUCGAUAGCCUCCCACACCUAGCACCCAUCGUUUACGGCUGGGACUAC
rnacentral:misc_RNA from 1 species